GUGGGGAAUAUUGGGCAAUGGGCGCAAGCCUGACCCAGCAACGCCGCGUGAGGGAAGAAGGUCUUCGGAUUGUAAACCUCUGUCCUUGGUGAAAAGUAAGAGAUGGUAGCCAAGGAGGAAGCUCCGGCUAACUACGUGCCAGCAGCCGCGGUAAUACGUAGGGAGCGAGCGUUGUCCGGAAUGAUUGGGCGUAAAGGGCGUGUAGGCGGCCGUUUAAGUCUGGAGUGAAAUUCCUGUUUUUAAGGUAGGAACUGCUUUGGAAACUGGACGGCUUGAGUGCAGGAGAGGUUAUCGGAAUUCCCGGUGUAGCGGUGAAAUGCGUAGAGAUCGGGAGGAACACCAGUGGCGAAGGCGGGUAACUGGACUGCAACUGACGCUGAGGCGCGAAAGUGUGGGGAGCAAACAGGAUUAGAAACCCGAGUAGUCC
rnacentral:rRNA from 1 species